AAUUUCUUCAGUUCAUUGGGCUUUCACUAAGAAAUCGAAAUGGCGAGAACGAAACAAACAACAAGAAAAUCCAUCAGAGUAAAAGCUCCCCGUAAGCAGCUCGCAACCAAGGCAGCUCGUAAGUCUGCCCUAGCAACCGAAGGAGUGAAGAAGCCCCACCGAUUCAGGCCGGGAACAGUGGCGCUUCGUGAGAUAAGAAAGUAUCAGAAGAGUACUGAGAUUUUGAUCCGAAAACUGCCUUUUCAGCGUC